UUAAGUUCAGCGGGUAGUCCUACCUGAUCCGAGGUCAACCUUGAAGAGUUGGGCGUUUUACGGCGUGGCCGCACCGCUAUCCCUCUGCGAGCGAAGUACUGCACAGGGGAGGUCACAGUGAGACCGCCACUACGUUUAGGGGACGGCAGCCGCUGGGACGGCCGAUCCCCAACACCAGCGCCCCCCGGACGGUGCCGGAG
rnacentral:misc_RNA from 1 species